rnacentral:rRNA from 1 species
AGUGAACGCUGGCGGUAGGCCUAACACAUGCAAGUCGAACGGCAGCACGGGAGAGCUUGCUCUCUGGGUGGCGAGUGGCGGACGGGUGAGGAAUACAUCGGAAUCUACUCUGUCGUGGGGGAUAACGUAGGGAAACUUACGCUAAUACCGCAUACGACCCACGGGUGAAAGCAGGGGACCUUCGGGCCUUGCGCGAUUGAAUGAGCCGAUGUCGGAUUAGCUAGUUGGCGGGGUAAAGGCCCACCAAGGGAACGAUCCGUAGCUGGUCUGAGAGGAUGAUCAGCCACACUGGAACUGAGACACGGUCCAGACUCCUACGGGAGGCAGCAGUGGGGAAUAUUGGACAAUGGGCGCAAGCCUGAUCCAGCCAUACCGCGUGGGUGAAGAAGGCCUUCGGGUUGUAAAGCCCUUUUGUUGGGAGAGAAAUCCAGCUGGCUAAUACCCGGUUGGGAUGACGGUACCCAAAGAAUAAGCACCGGCUAACUUCGUGCCAGCCGCCGCGGUAA